GACGAAGGUGGCAAGCGUUAUUCGGAUUUACUGGGCAUAAAGCGCGCGUAGGCGGCUUGGCAAGUCGGGGGUGAAAUCCCCGGGCUUAACCUGGGAACUGCGUCUGAUACUGGAUGGCUUGAAUCCGGGAGAGGGAUGCAGAAUUCCUGGUGUAGCGGUGAAAUGCGCAGAUAUCAGGAGGAACACCGGUGGCGAAGGCGGAUCUCUGGGCCAUUACUGACGCUGAGGAGCGAAAGCGUGGGGAGCGAACAGG
rnacentral:rRNA from 1 species